rnacentral:guide_RNA from 1 species
AGAAAAUCCAUUAUCAAUUGCAAGAUCGUAU